rnacentral:rRNA from 1 species
AGAGUUUGAUCCUGGCUCAGGACGAACGCUGGCGGCGUGCUUAACACAUGCAAGUCGAACGAGAAUCUGUGGAUCGAGGAUUCGUCCAAGUGAAGCAGAGGACAGUGGCGGACGGGUGAGUAACGCGUGAGCAACCUGCCUUUCAGAGGGGGAUAACAUUUGGAAACAGAUGCUAAUACCGUAUAAGAUUACAGUACCGCAUGAUACAGUGAUCAAAGGAGCAAUCCGCUGAAAGAUGGGCUCGCGUCCGAUUAGAUAGUUGGUGAGGUAACGGCUCACCAAGUCGACGAUCGGUAGCCGGACUGAGAGGUUGAACGGCCACAUUGGGACUGAGACACGGCCCAGACUCCUACGGGAGGCAGCAGUGGGGAAUAUUGCACAAUGGGCGAAAGCCUGAUGCAGCAACGCCGCGUGAGGGAAGACGGUUUUCGGAUUGUAAACCUCUGUUUUCGGUGACGAAUAAAUGACGGUAACCGAGUAGGAAGCCACGGCUAACUACGUGCCAGCAGCCGCGGUAAUACGUAGGUGGCAAGCGUUAUCCGGAAUUACUGGGUGUAAAGGGAGCGCAGGCGGGAUAGCAAGUCAGCUGUGAAAACUAUGGGCUCAACCCAUAAACUGCAGUUGAAACUGUUAUUCUUGAGUGGAGUAGAGGCAAGCGGAAUUCCGAGUGUAGCGGUGAAAUGCGUAGAUAUUCGGAGGAACACCAGUGGCGAAGGCGGCUUGCUGGGCUCUAACUGACGCUGAGGCUCGAAAGUGUGGGGAGCAAACAGGAUUAGAUACCCUGGUAGUCCACACUGUAAACGAUGAUUGCUAGGUGUGGGGGGUCUGACCCCCUCCGUGCCGGAGUUAACGCAAUAAGCAAUCCACCUGGGGAGUAC